AAACUGCGUCUUCCUAAAAAGAAAGGUCUAGAACACUGCAAUCUAAUUCCUGAAGGCCACCUGCUCAGGGAGUCCCCUACUCUGAUGCAGGUGCCCAAGAAGACACUAAUACGGUGUUUGAGGUGUUUGUUUGUUUGUUUUUCUGUUUUGAGACAGAAAUGAAGCUCUGGCUGACCUGAAACUCAAUAUGCAGACCAGGUUAGCCUCGAACUUGCAGAGAUCCUCCUGCCUCUGCUUAUUAAACGCUAGGAUAACAGAUAUGCACCACCACAACCAGCUAACCUUAUUUUCCCUAAGAGCCACAAGCAGCCCUGAGGAAACCAAGUCUCAGAAAGUUCACUGCCCUCGCCCCUUUAAUACAACCUCUGGGGUGUAAGGCUCUGGCCAAUUUGUGUGUCUUUUGGGUUCUUCUGAGUUCAUUCCUCUCUUCCCGACAUCCGUGGACCAGAUGCUUCCACCCUACCCAGAACUCACCUAAGCCUAGAAAGAGCAUCAUGGACUGGGGGAUGGCACCCGGAACUCACCGAGGAUGCGGACCUGCGUGAUGGCGCCAUGCAGGCUGAAGAGCAUCCAGAGGGGCUGCGAGGCAUCCACGCACAGCUGCAUGCCGGCCGCCGCGCCGUUGUGACUCAGGUGCAGCUCUCCGUCCGCGUUGACCACCAGGCCCAGGAUGUCGCCGCUGUGCAGAGGCCCGGGCACGCGACACACCGCCCAGAACUCCUUGCGGUCCACCAGGGCCUCGGGGCUGAAGGGCAGGUCGGCGGGCCGCAGCGUGCCAGGGUCACACGUGGUGACCCCGAAGGACAGCGCGCCCGCUCGCCCCCCGCCCGAGCGCGUGACCUUGAUGAAGAUGGUCUCGGCCACGCGCACAGGCCGGCUGGUGAAGACGAGCGCGCGCUCGUCGCGCCCGUGCUCCAGGCGCGCCACCGUCUGCUCGUCCAGGAUGCGGACGUGCGCGCCGGCGCGAAGCGCGUGGAAGCGCAGGUCGCCGUCGAGCUGCGCCGGCAGCGCGCGGCUGUGCUGAGAAUUGAGCGAGUUCUGCGGGAUCGGGCAGCCGGCAGGCGGUGCGCCGUCGUCGCCGUCGGCUCCCGGCACGUUGAGGUCGCACAGGCUCACCGACAGGCGCGCCUCAUCCGCCUCGCACCGCAGCGACGGCCGCCGCAGCGCGGUGAAGGAGCGCGGCCGCAGGCAGUCGGGCAGCACCAGCUCGCUGUCUGCGACGGGGAGGGCGAGAGACAGGGCGACUGUCACCGUCCCACAGGGGUCGCGCAGCAAGCGCCACCAGAGCACUAAAGAUACUACUGCUCAGGUACAAAGGCAGGAAGCGAAGGUGGCGCGGGAAUCUAACCCUCUAGACAAAAGCAUGCGGCUGGAAGACACCAACCUGAAAGGCAUCUAAUUGCUUCUAAGUGCUCCCCCGCUAGCAAGUCCCUCUCUCUACUGCCUCUGGUAACCCUGCAGAACUUGUAGAACUUUAUAACCUAUUGAGAGGGAUGUUUAAUUUUUCUGAGAAAGAGUCUCCGUCCUGGCCUAGCCUAGAACUCAGUGUGUGCCAACAAGAUUUACAGUCUUACAAAGAAUGUUGUUGUUAGCAGUGGUGGGUUGAUUUCCUCUAUCUCCUCUAUCUCCAGCCCCUUCCUUCACGAAAGAAAAAGGUUUCUUAAAUUCUAAUCCCUAGGACUUCCCUACUUCCUAGAAUGGAGUGGUUCCUAUGUGCGCGCACAUGUGUGCACAUGCAUGAAGGGGGCCAAAGGUCAACCUAGGGUGGUGGUUCUCAGGCACUGUCCACCCUUUUGUUUGAGAAGGUUCCUUUCUGGCCUGAAACUGGCCAAGUAGACUGGGCUGGCAGGCUCGAAAGCUCCAGGGAGCCUCCUGUCUCAGCGGUGUCUCCAGCAGUGGGACUAUAAACACACCACUCUUAUCAAGACAAACUCAGGUCCUUAUGGCUUCUGCCCACCUAGCUGUCUCCCUAAACCUCGGAGUGGCUUUCAGACAAUAACCAUUUGUCACAGGCACCACUGAUACUCUAGAAGGCCAGAAAGAACACUUGUCUCCCAGUUUCUUCCCAUAAAACUAUGACAUGGAAAACC
rnacentral:lncRNA from 1 species